AAUCAUUUAAAUUAGAUACGUUUGUGGAUUUAAUUUAUGGUAGGUUAAUAUGGUGGAUUAAGGUGUAUGUUCUAGCCAUAGAGUAGCUUGCUCUCAGUAAUUUUUUCACAUUGUUGACAGAGUUAGUUGUGUCAGAGAGGAAGAAAUGAUAUCUAGGGAUGUUGUAUGGUGCCUUCUACUAGUCAUAUUUGUAAAUUCGUUAUUGAUGGCUCAUCCUUGGGAAAGCUUGAACCAGUAGGGAUUGGUAGUGUGUUAAGAGAUUAUACUAUCAACAACAAGUGUUUUCUCAAAGAGCUGUGGUCUUCUAAAUUCUAAUCAAGGUGGAUUAUUAGUAC
rnacentral:lncRNA from 1 species